CUUGCGGUUCUGCAGAAAACAAUUUUGCAAACCGCUGGCCUUGAGGUGUUUUGAGCUUUGGCCUGAAGAAGGCCUGGCUGGAAUCCUGAGGCUACUGCUCACCUCCCUGGAGGCAAACCCCUGGGAAUUCCAGUCCUCCCUCUCCCCAGUUGAAGAUGCAGAUCAGGAUGUUUCCCUGACAGGGUGCUGCUGCAGGAACACUCAGUAAGGCAAGACUGUCAACUCGCAUGGCGCUCUUCCUCAAGCCCAUGGACAUCCCUGCAGGGCCGCAGCUGUUCAGUGGCGGAGCAGGUGGUGCUUACAUCCAACCAGUCCAAGGCCAAGUCGAAGACUCACCACCACCAUCCCAUGCUCUUUCCAAAAGAACAAAACGAAACAAGACGACGACGACAGCAACAACAACAGGAAGACAUUUUCAUCCUUGGGCAUGGGAGAACACAAUACUCUUCUUUUUUUUGUUUAUUUUUUUCCCCAUUAAGUUUAUUGGUACAUUUUAGGUAUAAAAUACAGUUACAUUCAUCAUUAGGAUCUUGUACCAUUACAUGAGUAUCUUGGUUCUUUUUUUUUUUCCCCUUCCCCUGCCCUCCCUUCACCCCCUCCACCCUUCCCUAUUUGCAAAGACUUUGUUUCCAUAUUUUUUCUUUUCUCAUAUUUUUUCUUUUCCCUUCUUUCCUUUCCCCUACCCCUCCCACUUCCUCUGUUCCUUUAGACCUUUACUUCCUAUUAUACAAUAUCAAUUAUACAUUUUAAAAAUUAAAAUAUCAAGACAAAGGAG
rnacentral:lncRNA from 1 species